rnacentral:rRNA from 1 species
CCUACGGGGGGCUGCAGUAAGGAAUAUUGGUCAAUGGGCGCAAGCCUGAACCAGCCAUGCCGCGUGCAGGAUGACGGCCCUAUGGGUUGUAAACUGCUUUUAUACGGGAAAAAACCCUCGAUCGUGAAUCGGGGCUGAUGGUACCGUAAGAAUAAGGAUCGGCUAACUCCGUGCCAGCAGCCGCGGUAAUACGGAGGAUCCAAGCGUUAUCCGGAUUUAUUGGGUUUAAAGGGUGCGCAGGCGGAAUAAUAAGUCAGUGGUGAAAUCCUGCAGCUUAACUGCAGAACUGCCAUUGAUACUGUUAUUCUUGAGUAUAUUUGAAGUGGGCGGAAUGUGUCAUGUAGCGGUGAAAUGCUUAGAUAUGACACAGAACACCAAUUGCGAAGGCAGCUCACUAAACUAUAACUGACGCUCAUGCACGAAAGCGUGGGGAUCAAACAGGAUUAGAUACCCCAGUAGUC